ACAAGUUUUUGUUUUUCGCGUCCUGCUAUUUAAUAUAUUUUCCAUGAUGCGUCGUGCUGUCUCUGUAUUACGUGCAUGAACUAAUAAGUAUAACUAACUUUAAGUAUCUUUAAUCCGUAUUCGUGCUCUAGUACACUGGAUUCCAUAUUUCUAUAGACCACGGAAUAUAAUAUACCGCAUCUACAGAUACGUAUAAUACCUACUAACUGAAGUUAACUACUAACGAAAUAGAAAACUGGUUGAAGCUGAAGAAUUCCUAUCUUUGUCUUCUGAAGAAAUUAUUAAUCUAAUCUCGCGUGAUCACAUUAAUGUUCCAUUUGAAGAAAAAAUAUUUGUAUGUGUUAUUAAUUGGAUAAAUCAUGAAUUAGAUUGUAGACAUGACAGUUUGCCUAAAUUAAUGGACCAUGUCCGUUUGUCUUUAGUACCCAAGAGUAUAUAUCAAUAAAUGUAGUUGAUCAACCUCUUAUUAAAAAUGAUCCAAAUUGUAAAGAUUAUAUCAUUGAAGCUUUAAAUUUCCAUUAUGUAAAGAAACAUCUGCACAAAACUGUGCCACAAACAAUUUGUAAUUCACCUAAACAGACUGGACCUAAAAUACGGGGAAGAAGUAUACAAUGUUGUAUGAUCCAACAACCAAACUAUUGUAUAUAGCAAAGGAAAUGGGUUAGAGAUAAGAUAUGCACUUAUCCAGAUUCAAUUCAAGU